ensembl:snoRNA
UUACUAUGAUGGCUGCAUAGUUCAGCAGAUUGCGUCAUGAAGAGAUGUACCAGCUAUCUGAUGUAAAA